GGAAUGGGAGGCGGAGGAAUGGGUGGAAUGGGCGGAGGAGGAAUGGGAGGUGGAGGAAUGGGCAGAAUGGGAAGUGGAGGAAUGGGAGGUGGAGGAAUGGGCGGAAUGGGAAGCGGAGGAAUGGGCGGAAUGGGAAGUGCAGGAAUGGGAGGUGGAGGAAUGGCCGGAAUGGGAAGUGGAGGAAUGGGGGGAAUGGGAGGAGGAGGAAUAGGAGCAGGUAUGGGUACAGGUGGAGGAAUAGGGUCCAGAACUGGCGAGCCUUACCGUCUGGCAACUCAUGAGACUACGACUCCUCCCCGACAUAUGCAGUCCAGCCAGGGCUCUGGUCUCGGUACGGGUCACGGCCGUACUGGGUCCAGUAUGGGAGGCCAUGAAAGUCCCGGCCAGCACGCAUCUCGUAGAAACCUCCAAGUCGACUUCAGUGGCUCCAGGAAAGGCAGAUCUCCAUCGGCUUCUCCUGACCGCAGCAUGACGCCCACCUCACCUUACUCGGUGCCCCAGAUUGCUCCCAUGCCAAGCAGCAAACUGUGUCCAGUGUGCACCACCACAGAGCUGUCCAACCCACCGGCUGUACCCAACUACAACACCUGCACCCAGUGUAAGGCCACUGUCUGUAACCAGUGUGGAUUCAACCCCAACCCACACCUCACUGAGGUCCAGGAGUGGUUGUGUCUGAACUGUCAGAUGCAAAGAGCUCUUGGCAUUGAUAUGACCACGCCUCGCUCUAAGAGCCAACAGCAGAUUCACUCUCCCUCCCACCAGGCCAAACCCAUCGUCCAGCCGCAGCAGCCCACACUUCAGCCAACGCAGUCGGCAGCAGCAGCAGCACAGCCAAAACCUCUAGUACAGAGUCAGUCCACCCAGCGUCAGCAGCAGCGGCAGCCGUCGUCUCAGCCCUACAGCCAGACACAGGCCUAUUCCCAGGCCCAGCCAUACUCUCAGUCCCAGCAGUAUCCCCAAUCUCAGUCUCAGACCUACCCAUCAUCCCAGCCAGGACUGCAGACUCAGCCUCAGGCCUCCCCAGGCUUACAGAGACACCCAGGCCCUGGCGGCCCCCAGACACAGAUAGGGCCCUCUCAGCAGGGCAUGAGGUCUGACCCACUACCCCACAGGGGUCCUGGAGCAACAGGAUCUGGUCCCAAAGGAGGCCCCAGUCAGCCUGGAGGUCCACGGAUUCCCCACCCUGGGGCUGUUCCCCUUCCUGGUCUGGCCAAAGCGCCCUCUCAGCCCGAUUUGGGUCGGGGUUCCCCAAUGCACCAGCCAAUGGCUCGGCACCAUGACCAUACCAGAAGUGCCGGCUCCUCGCCAGCCCACAGACCUCAGAGUCAAGGGCCACCUCCUGCCCAGGAUGGCCUGACCAAACUCUUUGGCUUCGGAGCAUCGCUGCUCAAUCAGGCUAGUACACUAAUCAGUGUUGACCCUCUGCCCACUGCCUCCACCCAGCCAAGCCCUGCACGAGGGAAGGUGGUGUUCAGCAAUGCAACUACUGACAUCAGGCAGCAGCCUCAACAAGGAACCGCUGCACCCAAACCAUUUGGCAUGGGUGGCCCUCAUGCUCCAACUCAAAUGGGAGGCCCUCAUGCUCCCACACAAAUGGGAGGCCCUCAUGCUCCAACUCAAAUGGGAGGCCCUCAUGCUCCAACUCAAAUGGGAGGCCCUCAUGGUCCAACUCAAAUGGGAGGCCCUCAUGCUCCAACUCAAAUGGGAGGCCCUCAUGCUCCAACUCAAAUGGGAGGCCCUCAUGGUCCAACUCAAAUGGGAGGCCCUCAUGGUCCAACUCAAAUGGGAGGCCCUCAUGCUCCCACACAAAUGGGAGGUCCCCAAAUGGGCGGGCUUCAUGCUCCAACUCAGAAGCAGCAACAUCAGAACAUUCCCCAUCAACAAGGUAUGAUGCAACAGCAGUUACCUGUCCAUCAUCAAAAAGGGCAGCAAGGACAUCCUCAACCCCACGGACAACAACAGCAGCAAACACCUGCUCAUCUGCAGAAAGUGACACAGAGGCAGGAGCCUGUGGCAGCCCCUGUACCCGCUCCAGAACCUGUGAAGCCUAAAGUGAACUGCCCGCUUUGCAAAACGGAGCUGAACAUCAACAGCCCUGACCCACCCAACUACAACACCUGUACGCAGUGUCAAAGCCAAGUGUGUAACCUGUGUGGCUUCAACCCCACGCCACAUCUGGUCGAGAAAAAGGAGUGGCUAUGUCUGAACUGCCAGACCCAGCGGCUGAUGUCUGGAGGACCCCUUGAGGAACCUCCUCUACCCGUUCCUCAUCCCUCUCCAAAGCACCAGCCAAUGGGCUCACCUCGUCACCAGGUGCCGACUAGCCAGCAAAGCCCUCUCCACAAACCCACCAAUCAGCAGGGGUCCAAGCCGAGCCAGGCCCAGAAACCGCAGGCUGGUACAGGCAGUAGUGGACCGUUUGCACCCGCUGCUGCCAAACAACCGACUGACACCAAGACCGGGACUCCAGCUACGGCAACUAUAACAACCAUGGACUCCCAGAAACCAAAGUCCUCAGAGACAAAGCUAAAGACCGAGUCUGAGACCCAGCCUCCCAAAGAGAGCAAACCCUUGCAGAAGAAAGAGCCAAUUACCCCAAUCAAGGAAAUUAAGAAGUCCCGGCACUAUGAUGAUACUAAAAGCAACAGUACCCAUGACUUGUCACGCAGCCCCCAGAGCCUGAGUGACACUGGCUACUCCUCUGAUGGCAUCUCCAGCUCCCACAGCGAAAUUACAGGUCUAAUCCAAGAGGAGGAGAUGAAGCUAAGCGAGCGGGGAAUCAGUGUACGGGGCUCCCCUCCAAGUCCCUCUGAAAUUACCAAGCUAGAAAGUUCCAUGAGGCCACUGCUGGAGAAGAGUCUCUCUGAAGACAAGGCAGACAGGAGAGGAAGAAAGCACAGAGACAGAGAUUUAGAUGAUAGAGGGAAGCAGCGUCCACGCUCCCUGUCAAUCCCUCCAGACGCGUACGACUCUGAUGAGGAAUUAGAGGACAUAAUGGAAGAAGAAGAAGAUGGAGGAGACUGGGAAGGUAAACGGAAGGAAGGAAAGGAUGAGAAGAAGGAAAAGAAAAAGAAGGAUAAAGAGGCUGAGCCCACAGAAAUGACAGAUGAGGAAUUCAUGAGGAGACAAAUAAUGGAGAUGAGUGCCGAUGAAGAAAACGAAGAGGAGGAAGAGAUGGAGGAAGAGGAGGAUGAGGAAGAUGAAGGAUAUGGCUACCACAAACCCAAGAAAAGCCACCACAAGCACAUCCUCUCUGACUCAGGAAAAGAGAAGAGACGCCUUCAGCACCACUCCAGCAGUUUUGAAGAGGAAACCAAGAGCACCACUGAUGUUUAUAAAGGUUCAGUGGAGGAGGGUGAGGAAGAUGUGAUGGCAUCACAAGGGGGCCUAAGGCGCUUCAAAACUAUCGAACUCAAUAACACUAAUAGCUACAGCCGAGACAUGGAGCUGAGCAGUGAAAAUGAUCUGAGCCUUGAUCGGGAACCAGAGCUAGAGAUGGAGAGUCUGACAGGAUCUCCUGAGGAGCGCUCUCGAGGUGACUACUCCUCCACUCUGCCACCCACUUCAUCAUCAUAUGGUUCUGGUCAGUCUCCUACUUCCAUUUCAUCAAUGGAGGAGGAUAGUGAUAGUAGCCCAAGCAGAAGACAAAGACUAGAAGAGGCCAAGCAGCAAAGAAAAGCACGCCAUCGCUCCCAUGGCCCUCUCCUCCCCACCAUUGAAGACUCUUCAGAAGAAGAUGAACUGAGAGAGGAAGAAGAGCUUCUGAGAGAGCAGGAGAAAAUGAGAGAGGUGGAACAACAGAGAAUAAGGAGUACAGCACGGAAGACCAAGAGGGAUAAAGAAGAGCUGAGGGCUCAGAGGCGCAGAGAAAGGUCCAAGACUCCGCCAAGCAAUCUUUCACCCAUUGAAGAUGCUUCUCCAACAGAGGAGCUGAGACAAGCUGCAGAAAUGGAAGAGCUUCAUCGAUCUUCUGCCUCUGAAUAUUCCCCUCAGAGUCUGGACUCAGAGGCUGAAGGAUAUGAGUCUAAACUUUACAAGUCAGGCAGUGAGUAUAAUCUGCCUACCUUUAUGUCUCUCUACUCACCAGUAGAGAAGUCAUCUAUUACGACUACUACCACAGCACCAUCAUCAACUUCCAAACCUCUCAAGAGUGCUGAAGAAGUUUAUGAGGAAAUGAUGAGGAAGGCGGAGCAGCUUCAAAAACAACAGCAGCAACAGCAGCAACAACAUGGAAGGCACUAUUACGAGGAGGACAUUAAUGGACAAGCUUAUGAUGACGAGUAUGAAUAUGAACAAGAUCAAACAGGAUAUGACAACGAGGCAGCAGAGACAGAAACAGAUAUUUAUGAGGAGAUCCGACAAACAUCUCAAAACAUCACUAAGAUGCAGCAGGCCAGCGAUGAACAAGUAGAUAUUGAGAUAGAGAGCUCAUACCCAGACAAGCAGCUCCUCGAUACAGGCUCAGCCUUUGCUAAGCUGCUGGAACAAAGCAAUGCUCUUUUGACCCCAGGCACCAGCCCCACCCAGAUCUCAGCUCCUGUCUCCUUUGCUGAGACUGGAGGGCGGAUCCCUGAUGUACGUGUAACACAACAUUUCUCUGGAAAGGAUGGUCACAAAGAUAGGCUGAAAAGCCAAGCAGGAAAGAAUGGUAUUACACCCACGGUGGCUGCCACAACUAUUGCAGCUUAUGGAGUUUAUGCCAGAGAUGCAGUAACUAUUUCACAGACUAGUUCAAGCCACACUAUCACGUCUACUCAGUCUGCAAUAUAUGGCCGACACACAGGCAGUCCUGCCACAUCCUCAGCAACUGUUUCUAGUGUAUGCAGCAAGAUCGCAGAGAUUACUCAAGCUUACAGUCAAAGAGAAGUGAUCACGCGCAGGGUGGGGGAGACAAGGGGUGUCCAAGUGCGAGACAGCUCAACAUCCUCUACUGAGAGAAUUAUUGAACCACGUUCUCCCAAAUAUACAACUUAUUACAGGAGCACCAGUCCUCCUCUUUCUCCAUCCCCACCUCCACUGCAGAGUCCCACCCGAUCACCUUCAAGAAGGGCUACAGCAGAAUUCUCUACACAGACAUUCAGUUCAGCCAUGCGAUUGGAGUCAGCUGGCUCUGGGCCUUCAUCUCCAGUGAUGGCUCAGGGAACACAAACAUCACAUCGAUCUGUUUCCCCCCGGUUGUAUAGACAGCAGUCUUCCCAGGAUGCCCCAUAUUCCCCACCUCCAAGCCCAGCUAGACCAAUGACAGUCAACACUGCUACUUCUCCUCUCUCCUCACCAACUCGAUUUAGCCGACAAUCGACUUUUGAAACCUACUCCCCAUGUGGUAGUCCUCCAGAUACACCACCUUUCCAGCAUUCUCCUACACGUAGCUUCUACCACACACAAAGAAUUGAGAAGGUAAAUGUGGGAACAAGUAUGGUCACCACAGCCAGUACUUAUACCAGAGGGUCUGUGUCAAUGGAUAACAUCUCCCUCUGUCGAAUAUCCACAGUUCCUGGCACGUCACGAGUAGAACAAGGUCAUAUGAUCCAAGGUGGAAGUGUUGUGGACCUUAGAACAGCCACCAAACAGGCCCCUAUAAUCAUGACUGACCAAGGAAUGGAUCUCACCUCAUUGGAAAGCAGGAAAUACCAUGGAGGAUCAGAGGGUAGCAGACAUUCAACAAUUGUACAGCCACUGAUCAUGAACUUGAACAGCCAAGAGACUAUGACACCAACCACUGUGAGUGUCACGGUGGCUGCUUCAAUGUUCAUGACCCAGCCUAAACAACCCACAGUCUAUGGUGACCCUCAUCAAACCUGGGUUGAUCUCGGCCAAGGCAUGGGUUCAGCUGUGUGUCUUUCACAGAACAUACCACAAAUUUCACCACCAAUUGACCCGUCAAUACCAAAAAUUGAUGCCAAACUGGAAGACCUCAGUGUACAGCAGAGGGAGCUGCAGAAACAACAAGAGAAACUGCAAAAACAACAAGAGCUUCUUGAACAGCAGUUACAGCAGCACCAUCAGCAGCAACAACCACCUCCUUUGGUCAGGUUCAACAUUGCUGGCCAGGUGCCACCUUUACAUAAAAAGGACUUGCUUAUCAGCCAGACAGGCACCACCCCAGCUGUUGUCAGUGCUGUAUUACCAGCCAUUAACCCUGAGUUGUAUGGAACUGGCCCCAUUGAGCUAAAAGGGCAGCCCAGUCCUCCUGGUUUAAUGAUAGGUGGUAAAUCACCACAUAGCAUAAUCGUACAGAUGGAUGGAGGACAAGAGCAGGCCAGGGCAGUAACUCAGUUAGUAAAGGUCGAAGAAGGACAGGAUGCUCUGGAUCAACUAGGUGGCCAAAUUAAAUCUGACAACCAACCAGCUUGCUGUGAUGUUGUCUACAGAAUUCCAUUUGGUGGAAGCUGUGUUGGUGGCUCUGAGAAAGAGGGCAUAAGGCCUCCUUCUGCACCACCCCUUACCUAUGAGUCAGACCAAGAAACGCAACCUGCAAGGUACCAUGAGUAUCCAAUGGAUGGGCAGAAGGCCUACACAUUACCUUUCCCUGGUAAGCUCCAGCCUUCAAUGUCUGAUACAAACCUCGCUGAAGCAGGGCUACAGUCGUACCAUUCUAAACUAGAGCCACAAUUCCAAGUGUCAGGAGAACUUGCUGUGGAUUUAACUGCGAUGAAGCAGGGUUACGGAGGGUAUAUAGGGAUGCAGUAUGGCUCCUAUACAGAUCUGCGUCAUGGAGGAGACAUUCCAACCCAAACACUGCCUAUAAGAAGAUAUAAUUCUUUGUCAAACAUCAGUACAGACUAUGGCUACUCAGCCCGUGACAUUGCUGGCUUCCAAGAAGCUAACUUAGCUCAGUACAGUGCUACAACUGCCAGGGAGAUCAGUCGUAUGUGUGCAGCACUCAAUUCCAUGGAUAGGUUUGGCAGUAACCCAGACUUGAUGCAAUAUAGCACAUUAGGCAGAGGAACUGGGCCUGGGUCCUCCAGACUUGCAGCAGGUCUUGGCAUAAGACAAAACCUCCUCUUUGGACUAGAUGGGAAGCCAAUCUCUCACAGUCAAGCACUAACCAACCUUAUCAAUGCCAGACAGGCCAGUCUCAGAGCCAUGUACCCUGCUGCUAUUAGGUCUUCUGAUGGAAUGAUUUACUCCACCAUUCAGACCCCAAUUGCUUCCACACUUCCCAUCACAACCCAGCCAGCAUCUGUUCUACACCCACUACUAAGAGGGGUCUAUAGGCCAUACCCUUCUGCCAAUAUGACACCUGUGCCCCUAUCCAGUCUAACCAGACUACCUUUGAACCCUAGAAUGUCCUUAGCUGGACAACCCCCAGUUCGUUACCCAUCACCGGGUAUUCUUCAAACAACAUCAGCCACUGCCACUACUGGCGGUGCUGCAACAACUUCAGCAACAGGAAGUGCUCCUGCGUCUGUUUCCAUGACAAUAGCUGGCUCUGCAGUCCAAGACGAACCAGUUUACCUUGGUAAAGGUGCCACAGUGUCUUCCUCAUCAGGUGAAGUCACCUCAGUUGGAGGAACACUUGUCAUACCAACAGAGCCACAGCAGCAACCAAUAAACCUGUCUCAGGCACACCUGAACAAUCAACAACAACAAGUGACAAAUGCUCAGCAGUCACAACAGCCUCCUCCAGCAGCCCAUGCCUAUCCACCCUCAGGGACAUCACACGCUGUCGGCCCCUCUGGCCCUCCCAGUGGCUUGCCUGUUCCAGGGGGUCUUCCUCCGUUUCCUCCACCAGGUGCCAUACACAAGGAGGGUGAAUCUGAGGCAGAGAGGCUGCAUCGGCAGCAAGAGCAGCUUCUGCAGAUGGAGAGAGAACGUGUGGAAUUGGAGAAACUUCGACAAAUGCGCCUGCAUGAGGAGCUGGAGCGGGAAAGGAUAGAGCUAAAGCUGCACAGGGAAAAGGAGCAGAUGCUGGUACACAAGGAGCUCCAGGAGCUGCAGACCAUCAAGGAACAGGUUUUGCAGCAACAGCAGCAAGAACGUGAGAAACAACUUGUUAUCCAGAGGGAGCAGCUGGCCCAGCAGAAGUCCCAGCUAGACCAGAUCCAGUCUUUACAACAGCAGCUCCAGCAACAGCUUGAAGAGCAAAAGAGACAGAAAACAGCUGCAGUUCAGAGCGUCCAGCUGGAUGCAAACGGACAGCCCCUGCACCCCUACGUUGACUCUCAGAUGGGCUCCCGUUCCCUUCCCAACUCCUCAUCAGAGAUGUGUCUGAGGAGCCAGGAAGAGCACAUGGAGACCAGGAGUAACAUCAGGAAGCACAGCUCUAUGACCAGGCUGAGCAGGGACAUCUUGGAUGGUGAUGGCGUGAUCUUCUACAGCUCCCCCCGCAGGAUUGUGGACAGCUGUGUGCAGACAGAUGACGAAGAUGGGGAGGAGAGGUAUAUGAUGCGUCAUCGCACCCGGAGGAGAGGUCGCAGCGUUGACUGCUCAGUCCAGACAGAUGACGACGACGAGAAAACUGAGACAGAACACCCGGUCCGCCGAAGACGCUCGCGUUUCUCUAGGCACUCUGAGUCCAAUGCCGCCAGCAACAGCACUACUGCUACAACCAGUACAGCUACUGACACAAAAACAGACACGUCCAAGAUGGUAUCUUCCAGCAUUGCUGUACAGACCAUCAGGGAAAUGUCUUGCCAGACAGAAGUAGAGCACCUAGGGAGAGUCUCCCCAGCAAUCCAUGUGACAGUACCAGAUCCAAAUAAAGUGGAGAUUGUACACUACAUCUCUGGUCCUGAGAGAACCCAAAAAGGGCAGUCUCUUGCAUGCCAAACUGACCCAGAAGCCCAGUCACAAGGUGUUGUAGCUCCACAACUUAGUGUACCAACUACAGUCAGUCCUUAUUCUUCCUCCACCAGUAGUGGAACACAACAAUCCAGUACAUCAGACCUUCUGACCCAGCAGCGCCAGCAGCAGCACAUUGCAGCAAAUGCAGCCAAGUUUGAGCGACGUCGCCCUGACCCACUUGACAUUAACUACCAGCCUCACAACCACCUCCACAACGAGUCCAUCUCCAGCAUCAUCCGGCAGCAGCAGACAAAUCCCAAAUCUCCGCAAGUCCUCUACUCUCCUGUCUCCCCGGUGUCCCCUCACCGCCUGCUGGAGACUUCUCUGUCUAGUGAGCGGCUGAACAAGGCCCAUGUCACACCACAGCAGAAGUCCUACACAGCUGAGUCCCCCCAGCGACACCCAUCUAUGCCCCGACCCAUCAAGAGCACCCAAAGAUCCAUGUCAGAUCCUAAGUCCCUUAGCCCAACUACAGAUGAACACACCAAAGCCAGGCUGACCCUGUAUCAACAACAAGCCCUUCAGAGCCAGCUGGCAGCCCUUCAACAGAGCUCACUGCUCCGAAAGGUCAAGCGAACUCUGCCCAGCCCUCCUCCAGAGGAGACUACUGCAUCAGCUCAUCUGCCCAUGAUGACACCUGCCCUUCAACAGGUCUAUCUGCCCUCCGUGCCCAGCCUCAAGCCCAGCUCUCGGUCUGGCCUGGCAGCUAAAGCCAGCCUCCUCAAAGACCUCACUCAUGAGCUCAAGGCUGUGGAGCAAGAGUCGACCAAGCUGAGAAAGCAGCAGGCUGAACUGGAGGAGGAAGAGAAGGAGAUUGAUGCUAAACUGAGAUACUUAGAGUUGGGAAUCCACCAAAGGAAAGAGACAUUGGUCAAGGAAAGGGAGAGGAGGGAUAUUGCCUACCUGAGGUGUAUGGGGGAUGCAAGGGACUAUAUGUCUGAUAGUGAGUUGAAUAAUCUGCGUUUAGCAGCAGCUGCUGCAUCACAUGAGACCAAUGGGCUACUGACAACAAGGCCAAGUACUGCCCCCCUCAGCCAGUUCACUGGUGAACUGAACACAGCAGCCCAGUACCCACCAACCUCAUCUUUCCUCUCUUGUCAGUACCCCCAGAGCCAACCUGCAGCACCCGCUCAACAGUCAAGUGUGCCAUACCAGUCUGCAACAUUCAACCAGCCUCCCUAUCCAACAGUGUCUCAGUCCCAGGCAUUGCCACAGCCUACACCCCUCCAAAGCCACAUCCCCCCUCCAGGACCUGCUUACCAAUCUCAAACCUCAUAUCCUUCCCACACCUACCCCCAACCUCAGCCCCCAUACCCCCAGACAGACAUGGGGCUACCAGCUGCACCUCAACCUCAGCCAGGGCAGACAGGUUUUGGGCCUGCACCACCAGGUCAGCCUCCAUACCCCACCCACAGCUCACCAUAUCCCAGUGCUGUGUCCUACCCUAGCCAGACCGCCCCAUACCCUGUGCAGCCCCAAGCCGAUAUCCUGACUGUCCAUCCUGGAAGACCGAGGCAGACUUCACUAGCCGAUCUGGAACACAAAAUGCCCACCAACUAUGAGACAAUCAGCAACCCCACAGUUGUGGUCACAACCACAGCCCAGGAUGCUACUUAUUCCAGUGCAGCUCCUGCAUAUGGUCAGUACACUGGAACAACAACCAUGGCCAGCUCCUAUGGCCCCUAUGGCUCAGCACCAGUCUCCAGCAGCUAUGGUGGGUAUGCCACUGUGCCACCCAGCACUUAUGGACAAUAUACUUCAACUGCAGCUAGUUCAUAUGGCCAGUAUACCACAACCACUGCUAAUACUUAUGGCUACACUACCACCACAGCCAGUUCUUAUGGACAGUACACUUCUACAGUUUCCAAUGCUUAUGGGCAUUCUGUAGACAGUCCCUCAACUUACAGCACAGCAGAGGGGAUGUACGGGGCUCCUGGCUUAGAGCAAAACAUCCCAAGGAACUACAUGAUGAUCGACGAUGUAAGCGAGCUGACGGCAAAAGAUGGGCUGGGCACGACGACAGUGGACAUGAUGCAUCAUGGCAGCAGUGGGCGAUAUCCAGGUGACAUCCAUAGCCACAGCGGCACCAUUGGCAGCACAACGCGUGGGGGAAGUGGCGGCUCCUCGUAUGGCAGGGCACCCGAGGAGGAAGCAGCGAUGCAGGAAGAGCUGUACGACCACCAUGGCAGGGGUAAGAGCAGCUACAGACACGGACCUCUAGGGGGCAGCAGCAGCAGCGUGAGCUCUAGCAUGGGUGGGGGAUCCUCCUAUUACUAUGACUACGACUACAAACAUGGCAGCAUUCGCUCCGGGGUACAGAAACCUUCGCCAUCCUCCAGAAGCCUUAUGGCUCCUGCUGUCAUGUCCUCCAAGCGCAGCAAGCACAGAAAACUGGGGAGUAUGGAGCAAAAAAUCUCCAAGUUUUCUCCCAUUGAGGAGGCUCGGGAUGUUGAGGCAGACCUGGCCUCCUAUGCCUCAGGAACAGGUGGGACAUACUCCUCUUCCCACAUUCGAGGGCGCCAGCUGAUUGAGGAUUAUGGCUUCAAGAGGAGUGCUUUUGAUGGUGGCAGUGGCACUACUCAUGGCAGUCGAUACUGUGGUUCGAUGGUGGACGACGAUGAUCGAAUUUACUACACCUCCACUGGCCGCUCCCGUUCCACUGGCUAUGGCAUGGACAAGAUCUCAGCCAGGGACUACUCUGGUUAUCGCAGCCGAUCCUAUGAAAGGGAUGAUCGCUCCUAUCGAUCCAGCUAUAGCCAGGGGCGCCACCCAACCCGACAGUACUCUGAAGAGGAGAGUCCCCUCAGUCCACUGGGGAGGUUCAUGGGUUCUGGUCGAUCAUCAAGCUUAGGUCCCAACCCAUAUGACAGUCACAGCAGUAAAUAUCCUUACUAUGACGGCCAGUAUGGUUCCAGCCACUCGCUGCCAGAUGUACAAGACCACAUACGGGACCUUCCCAGGACACAUGUCUACAAAUCGGAUGAUACAUACAUUAUAGACGAUUAUUAUUGUGCUGUGUCAGACAGUGAAGCCUACCACCUGGGCCAGGAAGAAACAGACUGGUUUGAGAAGCCACGCUCCAGUUCUCGACACUACGGCGGGAGCCACUCAACUGGGAGAACCCGGCACGCUGUCAAACAUACCUACCAUGAUUAUGAUGAGCCUCCCGAGGAAGACCUGUGGCCCCAGGAUGAGUAUGGCCAUGGAGGGCGACACUCUUCGUCCCGUGACCAAAGGCACCAUGGUAGCACUGGUCGUCACUCAACCUCGUCACGUCAUUCAGACGAACGGUCCUCAAGGUCAUCCAAGGCACACCCAAAAGACCCAUCGUUGAGACACGACCCAUCAGGAAGAUCCUCUUCCUCGGGAAGGCGUGGCGAAUCCAGAUCAGGGGGCUACCACGCUUCUGACUACUCACGGGAUCCAUCCGGACACCAUCACGGCCAGCGCUCCUCCAGGCAGGGAGAGCCACACAGAUCCUCACGCAGCAAAUCCCAGCAGCCACUUGACAUGCAGGGCCAACCAGCAGGCUCCUCCAGAUCUGGUAGCAGCUCUUCACGAGCUCAGGGCCCAGCUGGUGGGCCCACAGGAUCAGGACGACAGGGGGGUCCUGGUUCCCAAACAGAUGGGGGACUAGGACAGAGGGCCCAGCUCCAACAACAAGCUCAGACAUCAGCUGCAAGGACAGGUCAGCCUGGCGCCUUAGCAACAUCUGGCCCUCAGCAGCAGACCCCAACCCAGGGUCAAGGCAUGGGCAUGGGCAUGGGCAUGGGCAUGGGGCAAGGCCAGCCUAAGCCAGGGCAGAUGGGACCAGCAGGUGGACCCAUGGGGCAGACCAGGCAGACGGGUCCGGUGGGAACCACACCAGUCACCAUGGCCAAGAUUGACACGCCCCCUGUGACAGCAAUUGGAGCAAAGGCAGCACCUGUCAUGGCUUCAAAAGCUGCUCAGCCCCCACUCACAGGCAUAGGCUCCAAGGCAGCACCUAGACCAGGAGGCAUUGGCAGUGCAGCCGCAGGUCAGCCGGGCAUGGAGGGAGACAACGUGUUUUCCAAGAUCCUGCCGGGAGGAGCUGCUGAGCAGGCCGGCAAACUGGGAGAAGCUAUCACCGGUUUUGGCAAGAAGUUCACCUCUCUCUUCUAAGGUGCUAAGAUUAAGGAUGAUAUAAAUAUUGAAGCGAUAAAGUCACGAGGCCUCGUACCAGAAAAACCUGUGAAGUUUCCUCUGCCCUUUGUUUUACUGAAAGAGAGAGGAAGGAGAGAGAGAGAGGGGAGUUGGGGGAGCAGAGAGGAGAGCUGAGCACACUGAUCAUUCCAAGUCAACAUCCACCUUCAGCAGGACUGUUUCCAUUCAUCCAGCAUUCUCAGGCAAAGACUUCAAAUCAAACAGCUGCAGACUCUGGAUCCACAUCGUGUAGGAGUUAAAUCCAUCCGUGAACAAAAGAGGCUGCGAGAUCCAGAGAAGCAGAGGUUUCUCUGCGCUGCUCUUUCCCCACAGAAGAAAAGGCAGGGGACACUUACAUCACCAGAGACCUACACAGAUGUCACCAUUGGAGUCCAUGUACCAACGUCUACGAGGAUUUAGCUCUAAAACGAUGAUGAAGGGAAAACAGAGGGAUGAUCUUCUUCCACAACUCGAGAAUGGUCACUUAACCACAGGCGAGGUGGCGUCUGAGGAUUCUUUGUGUGACAGUCCUGUGCUCAUAGAUGGAAUAACUGCAAUCAACCAGCUCCUCUCCUCUUUUCUAUCUCGUCUCAAAGUUAGCAAAAAAAGUGGGAAUGGAUUUUAUCUUUUUUUUUUUUUCUCUUAAAGUCCUGCAGGUUUUUCUGGUACUAAAGACCUCCUGUUGCAUCACCUGACACGAGGGAAGCGAAGUCAUGGAAGUGUCAUUUUUGAAUGAAUAGGACGACAACGAUGUCGCCGACACAGACGGAGUGCGACGGCGAGCAUUUUCUUUCCACGGUUUCUAUUUACAUUCCAGAUGGGAACUGAACCUGUUGCUCCCCCUCUUCCUCACCUCCCUGUGUUUCUUGAAUGCCGAGUCUUCUUUCUUUCUUUCUUUCUUUCUUUCUUUCUUUCUAAUCCCCCACCCGACGAUCCUCAACUUGCCAUGUCUUUAAAAAGAAAACAGAAAAAAAAGUGUAUUGUGGAUUUAAAAAAAAACAACAACAAAAAGUAGGAAUUUGGAAUGCAUGAAACUUUAUAUCCAAGACCUAACACUGUUCAUCAUGACUUAACCAAGGCCAUAAAGACACUGGGAAAAAAAAGAAAAAAAAGUCCAAGCUCGAUGACACAAAUAAUGACAAAGAAGAAGAGAGAUUACUGAAGCAACACAGGAACAUGGCCACAGGAGUGAGAGACGUUCUAGUUUAUUUAUUUAUUUAUUUAUUUUGUUUAUUAUUAUAUUUGUUCAUUUGACUGGGAUCAAAGUAUAUGUGGUUGGGUUGUUUUUCAGCCAUUACAAGCCAUUGAAACAACAUUUACCUGCAGUGCUGGUGUUGGCGGGGUUCCUCCAAACGCUCCACCCACAUCGCGGCUGUCGCCAGUCGUUACCAUUUAUCGUGUUCUCGUUAUUCUUGAUUUCGUUGCCUCUUGUUUAUGUCGCAGGUUACCUGAAUCGCCUUAAUCAUUUGUGAAGGUUUCAUUUUCUCUUUUUUGGAGCUGGAACACUGGCCAUAGUGAGAUUCAUUUAUACUUUUUCACUUCUCUUUGCUUUUGAUAUUGUGUGUUUUUUUUUGUUUUUUUAUUUAUGUUCUGUUUAUUUUUUAUCAAGGCCCCCCCCCCCCGACUCUUAUUUAGGAUCAAUAAUUAUAAAAGCAAUAGUGGGAGAGAAAGUUAAGAGCACAAUCUUGUGUGGAAUCAGAAACGUGUUGCCUGUUUGUCCAACUGACCACUGAGCGACCACGAGUUUCACUUUAGCGCGACCAUCUCAGACGUACAACCACCUUGUACCACCGCUGAGCGAGCAGGAGCUCGCCGAGACACCACGGGGUCCACUCCGACCAGAUCUUCUCCUCCGACCAACAACGAAACACUGACGUCGUCAAGCGGCCGACCAAUCAGCCGGAGCCUAAUGUGAAAGCACUGCAGGGCAGCAGAGAGGCACUGAAACGCAGACCAGUCUACAGGAAACUGGACUCGACGUCGUCACCGGAAGGGGGUUUCGGGUUUUGGAUGUGAUUCUUCUGACCCUCCGAGAUGGACGUUUCUAUAUUAGGAGUCUGCAAAAGGCUUCAUCAAGCUCCCUGCACAUCAGAGUGUAUCAGCAUGUGUGUGUGUGUGUGUGUUCAGUCUGUCAAAAUGUGCACAGAGCACGAGAAAGCACACUCAGUAAUGGUGUCAACAAACAACAACAACAACAAAAAAAAGCAAAAACAAAAAAUAUAUAUAUAUAUAUAAAUAUAUAUAUCAGCACUCGUGUGACUGAGAAACCAAAAAUAACACACUUGGUUGUGUCACAAAGUCGUUCACCUUUUUUUAAACUCUUCAUUUUCUAUCUGUGGUGGCGUCCAGAACCUGCAAACCCGACCCCCUGAAAACCCCACACCCCCUCUCGCUCUCUCUCUCUCUCUCUCAGACUGUCAGUUGUCUUGGAAAAUUCUCAGGUCAGUGUUCUCCCUGCUGUCGCUCCUGCAGUGCAUUGUGGGAUCUGCGGUUCAGUACUCCAAAAAAAAAAUACUCUGUCGGGGGCCAAAAACGACGCAAGGCCUUCAAGCAAAACCAACGAACCAACCAACUUCUGCUGUAUAUUGUCUGUGUGUGAACGCUCGCUGGGAAACCUUCGCAUGCCACCCGGCGCAGAAAAACUUCAAAGUCACCUCUAUAUUGUUCCUGUUCCUGAUGUUUGUAUGUAUGUGUGUGGAGGUCUGUAUGCGUGUAUUUAAUGACCAUCACCUCACGUAGGAAAAGAGGAAAAAAAAAAAACACAAGUUCAAUCAACAAAUAUGGUGGGCAGAAGAGGCGACCUCUCAUCUCCAGUCGUUCUAUGCAAUCUAUCAUAUUUGGGAAAACAGACGCAUGAUGACGAAAGAGGGAGAAUUGUUUUUUUGUUUUUUUUUAAAAAAGAAAAAAGAAGAGUCACGCAAAUAAUUAUUUAUCACAUUGUUCAAAAUGUCAAGAGUGUUUUGUUUUUGACAUUACUCAUAGAUCCAAGUAAGAAGAUUCUGUGAAUUUGUCUGUGUAUAAGUCACCUGUAAGUUAGGAUAUUAUAAUAAUAAUAAUGAUGAUGAUAAUAAUAACAAUAAUAAUAAUAAGAGAGGUUUAUGUAUUGUGUUCUCCUGGCAUGUUCAGGGUCCCCCUUUCCCCUUUACGAAAUGUGUAUUCAGGACGGUUUUGGAGUUAUGGGCGGACAAAGUUUGAUCGCUUCGUUUUCCACUGGAACCAAAAAAAAAAAAAGAGUCAAUUCUUCAUAUUACAAAUUGAGAAUUAGCCUUUUCCCCAAAAGCAGCAGCAGUGAAAUAUCCCUCACGUCCAAAACAGAAGCUUGUCGUCUAGUUUUUGCUGCAAGCAGAGUUUUAAUCACAUAGAUAUAGAAAACAGUUGUUUAUAGAGCAAUAUAUAGCUAUAUAUGAAUAGAUGACAUAUUUAGAUAAUAAAAUAGAUGGAAUAUGUUCCCUUUCAUGACUGGUGUCUGCUCAGGGGUGAUCAUGAAAAGCUUCCCCUCGCUCUUUCUUUCCUUUUCUUUCUAUGACCAUGGGCCAAAAUCUACACGCUAUAGAUGGUUGUUGUGCUUAAAUGAAUGCAAGUGUCUCAAGGUGCACUACCACGACACGAUACCAGAUAUCAUCUAAAUACACUGUGCAAAGAUAUGUGUACCUCAUAAAACACCACAGUUUGGUAGCAGCAUGCUAUGAUAAGGGAACAUAUAUAUAGGUAGAUAGAUAUAUAAAAAGAAAUUAUUUAUGGGAAUUCACAUUUUAAAUGUGUUCUUUGCAGUAUGAAAACAUCCCAUAACUCCCCCGAUACUCAAAAGGUUUUAUUUUAGCACAGCUCAACAAAUCACUGCGCCUGUGCAGACUCUAUAUCUAUAUAUAUAUAUUUUGUGAAAGAUGUAUCAGAUCAUUUUAUGCGUGUGAGAAUUUAUUUUUAUCAUAUUGAGAGAGGGGGGGGGGAAUAGAAAGAUACGGCUGAAGAAAGAAGAGAGAUUUUACGUUCUAUAGACACGGACUGAGGAUUUAUGUUUAUACAGAUGUUAUAUCAUCGCUGGAAUAUGCACAGCCAAAAUGAGACGAUCCGAACCAGAAAACAAUCUCUUUUUUGGUUGAUUUCAGCUUUAGGACACUUGUUUCAAUACCGACAUCCUUGAUGACACAUCAAAUGUUUUAGGAAGUUUACAAAAAUAUAAAAAAAGUUGUUCUUCAAUCACGUUUCCUCAGGAAAGCACACACCGACUAAAUGAAGCAUCGCAGUGGAGAAAUAAGAGCUGCGUCCACGCUGGAGCGAUGAAUCCGAUUUCCCCGCCAAUCCUUCCUUCCCCUGGCUGCUGUUAAAUAAAGGGACGGCUAAUGUUUGAAUGGCACCACCACCUUUUUUUUUGCUCCAGUGUAAAUGCAGCCACUCAAGGUGACUUCAAUAUGCAUAGCAGCAAGGGCUUUUACUCUACAAUACUAGUUACUGACGAAAGCCAUCCUGUUACUGCCCUCGAGCCGGUCGUGGUCUCCGUCUAUGCUGUGCAAAGGUGUCCGUCCGUCCGUCCGUCUGUUCCCGGGAACACAGUAGACUUCAGGUCAGACCACAGCAAUCACCAGUGGGCAAAAAUCACAAAGCCACAGUCCUGGUUUCUCAGAGGUGUUUGACGCACAACGCUCUAAGUGUUAAUUAAUAGCCUCCUUCCCAGUUUAGACACAAGUUUGUUUAUUUUAACUCUUUUGUUGAUACUUGGCAAUAGAACAACAAUAGGAUGCAUUUGUUCCCGGUGUUUCUCUGUGGCGAGUAGGUGAACAUUUACAUUUUGUUUGUCAUACACGUGAGGACGACUGUCAAAGGACAAACCUUUUAGUGUCACAAGAGUAAAACAAAAGAAAAAAGAUUUUUGACUGCAUUUAAAAGCAGCUUUGAACGCGUUUGGGAAACCCAGACUGUGCGCACGUGUGCGUGUGUUCUUAACCAAAAGGUAGCAUAGCGUGCAGCGCAGUAGUCGUCGCCACCGCUGCUCUUGCUGUUGGUCGUGCCGACAGUCCAGUCGUCGUAUAGUCGGGGGCCAGAGAACAAGUUUAAAACUGGAAUACAGUUGAGACGUGCAAAAACCCCAUUAUUCCAUUGUCAAACCACGAGGGAGCGUUUAUUCAUCUUUCACCUGUAACCAAUCAUGAGAGUAAAAUUACAAGUGCAUGACCUGAACUCCCUCCAAACACAUCCUUUUUUAAUCUCCCACCUCACGGUCUGCCAAGUUGUUUUUUUUUUUUAGUUUUUCUCCCCAGUGUAAAUACCAAACAAAAGCCAACCAGAAAACAGCAUGUACGUAAAUGCCAUGGAGGACAUGUUCUGUACAACAUGUAUAAAUCUCAGACAUACUAACACACACACGGGGCACGUGAGAAAGGCCUUUGCACACACACACACACACACACGCGGCGCAGACGCGUAAACAAAACCAGAGCGCAGUUGUUGAUUUGAACCAUUAAAAAAUAACAAAGAUCUCA